UGGGGAAUUUUGGACAAUGGGGGCAACCCUGAUCCAGCAAUGCCGCGUGAGUGAAGAAGGCCUUAGGGUUGUAAAGCUCUUUUGGCGGGGAAGAUAAUGACGGUACCCGCAGAAUAAGCUCCGGCUAACUUCGUGCCAGCAGCCGCGGUAAUACGAAGGGAGCUAGCGUUGUUCGGAAUCACUGGGCGUAAAGCGCACGUAGGUGGGCAGUUAAGUCAGGGGUGAAAGCCCGAGGCUCAACCUCGGAAUUGCCUCUGAUACUGGCUGUCUAGAGUUCGAGAGAGGUGAGUGGAAUUCCUAGUGUAGAGGUGAAAUUCGUAGAUAUUAGGAAGAACACCGGUGGCGAAGGCGGCUCACUGGCUCGAUACUGACACUGAGGUGCGAAAGCGUGGGGAGCAAACAGGAUUAGAUACCCGAGUAGUCCCUGAGCGGGCUGGCAAGGCGCAU
rnacentral:rRNA from 1 species